rnacentral:rRNA from 1 species
AUGGCUCAGAUUGAACGCUGGCGGCAGGCCUAACACAUGCAAGUCGAGCGGAUGAAGGGAGCUUGCUCUNUGAUUCAGCGGCGGACGGGUGAGUAAUGCCUAGGAAUCUGCCUGGUAGUGGGGGACAACGUUCCGAAAGGAGCGCUAAUACCGCAUACGUCCUACGGGAGAAAGUGGGGGAUCUUCGGACCUCACGCUAUCAGAUGAGCCUAGGUCGGAUUAGCUAGUAGGUGGGGUAAUGGCUCACCUAGGCGACGAUCCGUAACUGGUCUGAGAGGAUGAUCAGUCACACUGGAACUGAGACACGGUCCAGACUCCUACGGGAGGCAGCAGUGGGGAAUAUUGGACAAUGGGCGAAAGCCUGAUCCAGCCAUGCCGCGUGUGUGAAGAAGGUCUUCGGAUUGUAAAGCACUUUAAGUUGGGAGGAAGGGCAGUAAGUUAAUACCUUGCUGUUUUGACGUUACCAACAGAAUAAGCACCGGCUAACUUCGUGCCAGCAGCCGCGGUAAUACGAAGGGUGCAAGCGUUAAUCGGAAUUACUGGGCGUAAAGCGCGCGUAGGUGGUUUGGUAAGAUGGAUGUGAAAUCCCCGGGCUCAACCUGGGAACUGCAUCCAUAACUGCCUGACUAGAGUACGGUAGAGGGUGGUGGAAUUUCCUGUGUAGCGGUGAAAUGCGUAGAUAUAGGAAGGAACACCAGUGGCGAAGGCGACCACC